ensembl:lncRNA MUC20-OT1 MUC20 overlapping transcript
UUACCUUUCUAUCAUCUUGCAGUAUGGAUGUCUCUUGACUGGUACCGUGUAGACUUUUGAGGGCACACAGGAGUCUGCAGAGAGAUACUGGGGACAUUGAGCAGCAGCAGUGGGGUUGGGAGGCAGAAAUGAGGACAGGAACAUUUACCUUGUGUUUCUCUCAGCUUCUCAGAUGACCAAGAUGGUGCUGCAGAUGGUGCUGAGGAUGGAGAACCCACCAAGCCCCGCUAGGAGCCACCUAGACUGGAUGCAGAGCAUGGUGAAAAUGGAGGUUUCCUCCUCCUGCGGCUGAGUGUGGCUUCCCCGGAAGACCUCACUGACCCCAGAGUGGCAGAAAGGCUGAUGCAGCAGCUCCACCGGGAACUCCACGCCCACGCGCCUCACUUCCAGGUCUCCUUACUGCGUGUCAGGAGAGGCUAACGGACAUCAGCUGCAGCCAGGCAUGUCCCGUAUGCCAAAAGAGGGUGCUGCCCCUAGCCUGGGCCCCCACCGACAGACUGCAGCUGCGUUACUGUGCUGAGAGGUACCCAGAAGGUUCCCAUGAAGGGCAGCAUGUCCAAGCCCCUGACCCCAGAUGUGGCAACAGGACCCUCGCUCACAUCCACCGGAGUGUAUGUGUGGGGAGGGGCUUCACCUGUUCCCAGAGGUGUCCUUGGACUCACCUUGGCACAUGUUCUGUGUUUCAGUAAAGAGAGACCUGAUCACCCA